rnacentral:lncRNA from 1 species
CGGCAGUGCUCGGGCCGCCUGGCGGGAGGCGCCUCCCGCCGCCCGGCCCGCCACAGGCGGCGGGGGCCGAGACGGGCCCGUCUCCGCCGCGGGAGCGUGCUGGCGCGGUUUGCCCCCCUGCCUUUGCUCGCUGCCCCUACGUGACUGCAUGUGGCAAACGGGAGAGAAAUAUUAAUCGUUUAAAAGCGAUGCACCAUGCAAAAAUCUCAUUGUUAGACCAGGACAGUGCAUUUUACAAAACAGGAAAAGGAGUUCCAGAAUGAUGAAGAAUGGAUCAACGUUCUUGUCAGAGCCUGACUUUCAACAAAAAGGGUGGUAGGGCUGAAAGCAACAGGAUCAAACAUCUCAAGCCUGCUGCUAGAUGUUGUGGUCUGACAAACUACAUGGCUUCUGUUAUCAAAACAGGAAAACAAUACCUUUGUCCUGAGAGCUGGUUCCAGCUUGAAUACUUCACCCAGUUUUGGGCCCAGACUUCCCUGUAAUCAGUAAACCGGUACGGAGACUUUAAAUCAGGGAUAUACAGUUUAUUUUUACUGAGGUCUGGAGUAUUUCUUGCCAUGACAUGCUCAGCAGAAAGUGAGAUAGCUCCUGUUCCCUCAGAAGAGGCAAGAAGUGCCUAUUAUAGCUGAGCAAAAAGUGGUGUCCUCCUUCCUGGAAGUCCAGAGAAGUAUUAAGAAGUAUGGUAUCUUCCACUGGAGUGAAGGAGACAUCACGUGUCUGAGACCUUGGUAAG